rnacentral:lncRNA from 1 species
UGCCUUAGUUUUGGAAUCACUAAAAAUAACCUCAUUGAUAAAAAGGCAAGCAGAAGCUGCAGCUGGUGCUCUGCAGCAAGCAUGGGUGGGGCAGAGCCCACGGGAAGCGCGGGGGCACGACUUGGUGGGAGCUGCUCAUGGGGGUACCCAGCCUCCCGAGUAAGAAGGCUGUCACAACAUCGGGACUGGCACUGCUUAUUUGCAGUAUGCCAUCAGUUUAGAUCGUGUGGAAAGUGGGACCCAAACUCCGCUCCACUUAACCCAAAGCACUGCAUAUGAGAUGCCUCAGCAAGCUCUGUUUCCAUGGAAAUGAGCGUUAGUGUUAGCUUCCCCCAGCAAAGUGAAUCUAUCAGACCGACCUCAGCAAAACAGUACUUCCCAGUGAUUUUCAGAAUCCAGGAGCAAUUCAGCAUGGCGAACAAUGGCAAGCAAGACAUGUCAUCAAUUAAUUCAGUUCCCUGCAUUUUGCAACGAGGUGAAAUAACUGUUCAGUCUUGCAAGAGGACAGGCACUGCAAAAUCUUCAUGCUUCUGGAUUUCUUUCAUGGAGGUGAUGUCCAGUAGGGACCAGCUGAUGUGACCUUCUCGUGUCUGCAGACUUUACCUGAAAAGCUGGAUUAAAGCACAUUUUAUAGAAAAUCACUUCUCAAAGACUGGAGGCUGUUAUGAACUUACAGCCUCUGAUAAACUGAUACAAUGUUUAAUUACCUUCACAGCUAGGAAAUUAUAUGCUAUUUUAAGAAACAAAGCUGUUUGGUUUUUUUUCCCCUUUAUUUUCAGUUUCCAGUUGUUGGAUAUUCCAGUGUUUUUGCCUACAAGACUGAAAAACUGACCUCUA